rnacentral:rRNA from 1 species
UACAUGGGGUGCAAACGUUGCUCGGAAUUAUUGGGCGUAAAGCGCACGUAGGCGGUCCGUUAAGUCGGAUGUGAAAGCCCCCGGCUCAACCGGGGAAGUGCAUCCGAAACUGGCAGGCUAGAGUACGAAAGAGGGUCGCGGAAUUCCCGGUGUAGAGGUGAAAUUCGUAGAUAUCGGGAGGAACACCGGUGGCGAAGGCGGAUCUCUGGGCCUUACCUGACGCUGAGGAGCGAAAGCAUGGGGAGCAAACAGG